rnacentral:rRNA from 1 species
AUUGCAAGUCGAGCGAACAGAUAAGGAGGUUGCUUCUUUGACGUUAGCGGGGACGGGUGAUGUAACACGUGGCAACCUACCUUAUAAGUGUUGGAUAACUCCUGAAACCGGGGCUAAUACCCAAUAAUCUUUUCACCUCAUGGUGAAAUAUUGAAAGACCAGUUCUACGAUGUCGCUAUAGAUGGGCCCUAUGGCGAAUUACUCUACUCUGGGAGGUAACCGCUCACCAAGGCGACCAUUGUAGACGACCUAGACGGUGAUUGACGCACUUGGACUUACACGGAUCAGACUCUACUGAGGAGCAACCGGGAAUCUUCCCAAUGGGCAAUCUAUGAGCACUUACAUCGAGGAAGAAAUGAUUUCCGGGACUAAAACUGUUGUAACGGAACGAACUGGCCCACUACCAACUUCGCUUGUGCUUUACGGCCCUUAUUUGGGGAAACCCUGUUUAUCGUGGGCAACGGGCAUGGGAAAUACCUUGGGAGGGAUUUGGCGGUAAUAAUUUGCAAUCCCCCGUGGGGUUACCCCUUAAAUGCAUUCCCCGUUAAUCGAACGGGUUUUCGAACGGGGAUUUGGGGUAAUAGGUUUGGGGGGCAAACC